rnacentral:tRNA from 1 species
GGUCUUUUAGUUUAAUAAAAACAUUAAAUUGCAAAUUUAAAAAUGAGGUUUUAUCUAAGACUU